UACGAAGGGGGCUAGCGUUGCUCGGAAUUACUGGGCGUAAAGGGCGCGUAGGCGGCGCACCUAGUCAGAUGUGAAAUUCCUGGGCUUAACCUGGGGGCUGCAUUUGAUACGGGCAGACUAGAGUUCGGUAGGGGAGUCUGGAAUUCCUGGUGUAGCGGUGAAAUGCGCAGAUAUCAGGAGGAACACCGGUGGCGAAGGCGGGCCUCUGGGCCGAUACUGACGCUGAGGAGCGAAAGCGUGGGGAGCAAACAGG
rnacentral:rRNA from 1 species